CUCCAAGCACCUCAGGCGUCUCACAGAGUGGUGGGAGGACUCGCUCUCUCCCCCAAAGUAAAGAUUCCCUCAGCAUUUCAUCUGCUGGCGUCUGUGCAUUUUAAAAAGUUCUGGAUCCUUCCUACCCUGGCAAUGGCUGGUGGUAAGGCUGGAAAGGACUCCGGAGAGGCCAAGACAAAGGCGGUGUCCCGCUUGCAGCGGCAGCGACUGCUUGCAGUUCCCUGUGGGCCAUAUCCUUGGACACCUGAAAUCUAGGAGAACCAGCCAUGGACGUGUAGACGCAGGGGACUGCCGUCCCAGCAUACCUCACUUGGAUUGGCAGAAAAUGCCUCAAAAGACCUGAAGAAAGAAUUGAACUGAUCGAGGCGACAGUGGCUGGUGGUGGCGUCAUUCCUCACAUCCACAAAUCUCACUGGGAAGAAAGGACAACAGAAGACUGUCCAAAGGAUGCCUGUAUUCCUCAUUAUCUCAAGACUCUAAACACUAUUAACAGCUGUCCAGGGUUGGUGAAUCUGGUGGACUGUAUCUCUGUGACAAACACGAUUUUGGCUUUUUGUAAUUCUAUUUGAGCAAGU